rnacentral:rRNA from 1 species
UCGAACGGAAACAUGUCUAGCUUGCUAGAUGAUGUCGAGUGGCGGACGGGUGAGUAAUGCUUGGGAACUUGCCUUUGCGAGGGGGAUAACAGUUGGAAACGACUGCUAAUACCGCAUAAUGUCUACGGACCAAACNGGGCUUCGGCUCUGGCGCAAAGAGAGGCCCAAGUGAGAUUAGCUAGUUGGUGAGGUAAAGGCUCACCAAGGCAACGAUCUCUAGCUGUUCUGAGAGGAAGAUCAGCCACACUGGGACUGAGACACGGCCCAGACUCCUACGGGAGGCAGCAGUGGGGAAUAUUGCACAAUGGGGGAAACCCUGAUGCAGCCAUGCCGCGUGUGUGAAGAAGGCCUUCGGGUUGUAAAGCACUUUCAGUUGUGAGGAAAAGUUAGUAGUUAAUACCUGCUAGCCGUGACGUUAACAACAGAAGAAGCACCGGCUAACUCCGUGCCAGCAGCCGCGGUAAUACGGAGGGUGCGAGCGUUAAUCGGAAUUACUGGGCGUAAAGCGCACGCAGGCGGUUUGUUAAGCUAGAUGUGAAAGCCCCGGGCUCAACCUGGGACGGUCAUUUAGAACUGGCAGACUAGAGUCUUGGAGAGGGGAGUGGAAUUCCAGGUGUAGCGGUGAAAUGCGUAGAUAUCUGGAGGAACAUCAGUGGCGAAGGCGACUCCCUGGCCAAAGACUGACGCUCAUGUGCGAAAGUGUGGGUAGCGAACAGGAUUAGAUACCCUGGUAGUCCACACCGUAAACGCUGUCUACUAGCUGUUUGUGACUUUAAGUCGUGAGUAGCGAAGCUAACGCGAUAAGUAGACCGCCUGGGGAGUACGGCCGCAAGGUUAAAACUCAAAUGAAUUGACGGGGGCCCGCACAAGCGGUGGAGCAUGUGGUUUAAUUCGAUGC